rnacentral:rRNA from 1 species
UCCUAUGACUCUGAAAUCAUCUGAUCAUAUUUGGUUACAGAAACUAAGCAGGGUUGGGCUGAGUUAGUACUUGGAUUGGAGACCACCUGGAACACCAGGGAUCUGGGAA